rnacentral:piRNA from 1 species
UCAGAUGAGAGAGAAAAUAAAAUAAA